ensembl:snoRNA
CCCCUCCAGUUUUCUUACCCUUAAAUCUAAUCGUGGGUUGAGUGGUUGCAAAAGGGAGAAAUGUAAUAUAGCAACUGACUUCCAUGCUUUUGUAGCUCACGGGCUAGUUUCAAAACAAA